ensembl:lncRNA
GUUAACUUUUAUUCACUGAAGGAUACACUUCACUGUCAAGCAAAAAUAAUAAAUCAAUCAACAAACGUUUAUUAAAUGCUUAUUGUUAAUUGAACGUGCCUUUUAUUUUCUAGUGGCCAGUGGUUAUCAACAUGACUGUCUUGGGCAAUAAGGAUAGGAAAGCCCACAAUGAAAUGAUCCCUAUCCCCAAGGAGCCAUAUGAUACCAGUCUAUUCUGAAUCUCUUCUUUCCAAGUUAAAUCUCCUCACUUUCAUGAAUUUUCAUAUGGCCACACAUGGUUUCUGUCAGCUUUACCAUCCUGGCCAAUAUUCUCCAGACAAUGGGGCCUAGAACAUAUAUACCACCUGUACAUGAGUCCCAGUGGGAGAGAACUGGGAGGGAAUUCAGUCCCACCAAGCUCUGAUAAAACUUUUGAGUUCGAAAUACAAGCCCAAAAUAAGACUUUAAAACAAUUCAUCGACUGAAAAUUAUCUCUGAGCAAAGAUCCUUCUGUAAAAAGUAGUUGGGAUAAUUAUCUUUCCUUGCAUUUCAAAACUCAGGGAUCAAUACUAGAGCUACAAUUUCCCAGAUGCAGGGAAAUCCCUGCUGAGAGGGCGGAAGGCAGAUUGACACCUUUUCUGCAUCUUAAAAGUCUCAUAAAGUAGUCUAGAGCAUUGGAGGGGUUACAUGACUUGACCAGGGUCAUCAGUCAGUUUGAGUCAGAAGUCUUAAAAUUAAGACCAGACCUCUAUAACUACUCCAAGAAGCUUUCCAGCCAAAAAUAUAAAGAACAAAAUGAUUAUAACACUCUACUUUUGAUUAAAAACCAAAACAAGACAAAAGCUGAAUACCAAACCCUAAAAAAGGCUUUGCAAGCUUGGAGAUCUGAGGAAAGUAUUGCCAUGUUGCCUUUUGUGGCCGAUUUCUAGCUUCUCAAGCUCAAGAGUCAGCAUUGCUUCCCUGAGAAGACAAGAUUAUGCUCAAUAACAGCACUUCCUGUCCCUUCAAGAGAGCAGGAUUUAGGCGGAUGAUGAAGAAACUAUGAUCUGGCUUGGUGAAUUUAGAAUUCAUACCGAGAGAUUAAAGAGGAUUUAUUUAUGGCUCCUAUUAGUUCUUCCCUCCUCACAUUUACAGUAUGUGCUGAUUGUAUUAUCUGUGUGUUUCCAUGGGAAGAGAACUGGAAAACUGAAAACAGUCUUUUAACACAUCAUCAUUAUUUUUUAAGGGAAUCUAUCAAAUUUUAAACCUGAAAGUCUGGUUCAGUCACGGCUGUCACAUGAUUAAAACAGGUAUAUAUUCCACUCAAAUCCUUUUUAUUGAAGUUUUCUUUGUCAGGAAAUAGAAAGCUUUCUUUCCUUCUCCCCUUUACUCCCCAGGCUGAACUUGGAGAACUUGUUUCUCAGUCCUGAAUGAAGAAUGGGUAAGAGCUGAACAAAGAAAAGACAAAUUCUCAGUAAUUCUCCCUAAAAUGACCUACAUUGCUGGAAAUCCCUUUGUUUUUACAAGCAUUUGAGGUCACUGUGACAGAUUUCUACAGAACUGGAUGUUUAUCAGAAGGAAUUCAGCUCAGCUACCUACUCAACUCAGGGUGGGUGAGGGGAGAUCAGGUGCCUCAAACAGUUAAAGCUGUCCAAAUUCUAAACUUUAAAUCCCCUUUUAUUGAAAUAUAAGUUUGUUUAGUAUAUUUACACAACGUUUUAUGCACAUAUAUACAGAGAAGGCAGAAUCUGUCAAAUUAAAAAAAUUAUUUUAAUAAAAAAUUAAAAAAAAAAAGCAAAGUAAAGUGCAUGAAACUGGGUUUUUCUCCCCCCUCCCCCUUUUUCUUUUCUUUGAGACUGGUCACUGUCAACAUCUCGGCAGGUUUGCUGGGGGUAAGAGGGGUGGGGGCCAAGAGGGAGGAAAAUCCAUUAUCUUUGAUUGGGUUUAUCCGGUCCGUUCGGUAUUGUCGUUUUCGGGCCAAACGACGCUUUAACAAAUGGGUGGAAGGAACGGAAUCUGUUCGGGAGGCUGUUCUGAGUUACUGGGAUCUCUGUUCUCCACAUCCGCCAAGCCUUGCCAUUAACAGCGGUUACAUCCUUAGAACAAAGAAUGCACACAUGAACAGAACUGCAUCGUGUAAUGGCAUGUCGGUUACUCCAGAGACCAGUAGCAAGCGCCUCCUUGGUGCUACGUGAAUGACAGAAUUCGAUUUGGGAGGAAAUGCCCCGUCCAGCCCCCGCCCCCGUUUUUAGUAAAAGGUGGGGAGGGGGAGGACACAAGAAAAAGAAAACCAAAUACAAAUCCCGAUCACCCCAACGGAGCCCUUCGGGGGUUCGUGCUCCCAAAUUGAGGUCGAAGUUCGAUCCAUCCCCCGUACUCAGUGGCUAACCCCGAUCUGCAGAUGGGAAACGGGAAGAGCCUAAGGUCCCGAACGGAGCAGGGAGAAGAGAAGGUUUUUAGCCACAGUCCACUCGUGGAGAACUUUUAAAGGAGAAAGUGUGGCACUGGGGAGGUCGAGGAGGGGAGAACACAGGGAAGGACGGAGAGAGGAAGAGAAAAAGAGAGGAGACAGAGACAGAGAAACAGCGAGAUGAAGUUGGACCGGGAGAGAUCUUUGAAAGCCUCCCGGCUCGGGUCACUCAGUGGGCGUUGGCUCAAAAGCUCCCAGACGGCCCAUCCAAGCAUCAAUCCAGAGCGCAGCUGUCCGGCACCUUUCCCUCCCGGGCCCGCCCCCCCCACAGCUCGGGUCCCAAGUCACGGUCCGCCGUACUUGGCCUUGCAGUGCAAAAUGUGCUUGGAAAGGAAGUCGAGGCGGCGCUGCAGCAGCUGCGCGUGGGGCUCGGCCAGGGCGCCCAGCUCGGGGAAGCGCGGCUCGUGCCGCCGGUACAGGCGCAGCAGCCGCGCGGCGGCAUCCUGGCCCCGGUGCAGCUCCAGGACCAGCUGGGCGGUGCGCUGGCGGAAGACGCAGACGGACUUGAGCAGCGGCUCGUUGUACUUGUCCCACAUGCCGGCCACCCGGUAGCCGUGCACCAGGCCGGCCUCGUUGUCUAUGAAGACCAGUCCCCCUUCGGGGCCGCGGUGCAGGUUGCUGGUGGCCCGCUGCAUGACCCUCGGGUCCCACUGGAGGCUGAAGAGGUUGCUGACCAGGCGGUCGAAGUUGGCCGUCAGGUAGUCGAAGAGAAUCAGGUCCGUCCACUGCACCAGCUCCACCAGCUCGGGCUCGCUGCGGUUGGCCAGCUCGCCCCCGCCGCCGCGCAGGGGCCGCAGGCGCCCGUCCUCCGAGCGCCAGGGCGCGGGCGCUACCACGUCGGUGAGGUUGGGCAGCCAGCGGGUCAGGCUCACCACGCUGCCCUCGGCCCAGUGCGCGCCGCGCAGCUCGUCCUGCACCUGCGCCCACUGCGCGCCCCGCGGCUCCACCCGCGCCAGCGCCAGCGGGGGCACGUGGCGCUGGAGGCCCAGCAGCCGGGCCAGGUAGUAGGACAGGGCCUCGCCCUGGAUCUGCUCCGGGUUGAUGCCGUAGCGUACGCAGGCGCGGGUGCCGUCGGCGAAGCGGGCCAGCCGGUUGGAGCUGCGCCCGCAGCCCCCGCGCUCCAGGGCCACCACCCGGGCCCCGCGUGCCGCCUCCAGCCAGGACGCCGCCUGCCCCUCCGAGAAGCCGCGGGGCACCUGCUCCUCUAGGCCCCGGCUCCAGAAGAUGCCCCCCUGCACGGCGGCUGGGCCGCCCCGCCGGGGCUCCUCCACGUGCCCCGGCUGCCCGCGCUCCGCCGGCUCCGGGAGGCGCCGGGGCGGACUCUCCCCGGCGGCCGGCACGGUGAGCAGCGCCCGGAAAGUUUUCGCGGGGCCGCCGGGGGCGUCCCUCAGCCGUGGACGCGGGAGGUGCAGAGCCGGCGACGCCGCCUGAUCCGCGCUGCUCCGCCCGGAGCGCAGAAGCCCCAGCCCGGGGAAGGGGCGCUGCUCCGCCCGCUGAGCGAGCCCGGUCCACAGCGCCAGGAGCGAACCCAGCGCCAAGAGCCAGAGCCCGAUUGUGGCGGCGACGCGGCCGGGCCCCCGCAUCCUCCAGCCUGUAGGGGCUCCGGGGGCGGGCUGGUGCCGCGGCUUCAAGCCGAGCCCCGGGGCCGGGGCCCCGGCGGGGACGCCUCCCCAGCAGCCGGGGAGCUGCCGGGCCCGCGGCGCCUGUGCCCCAUGGUGGCUGCGGGGCUCCGGCGCCGCUGCCGCUGCCGCUGCCGCCGCCGCCGCCGCCGAGGCUGAGGCUGCUACUGUUGCCGAGGUUGAGGCUGCUACUGUUGCCGCCGCGGCGGUGCUUGGCCCCGCUCCGGCUCCCGCUCCGACUGGGCCGAGCGCUGGGAACUCUCCUCCCAGCCGCUUCGCAGCCGCUUUUGUAUUUCGCUGUGAGACCCUCCGGCAGGCGCGAUUCACAGGCACCGGGACCACGUGGGAGAGCGGGGAUAUCCCCCCCCUCCUUCUCCUCCUUCUCCUCCUCCUCCUGCUUCUCCCGCCCCUCACCGCCCUCCUCCCUUCUCCCCUUUUCCUUAAAGCGGCGAUGACUCUCUCCUCUCAGCCGAGAUCGGCGGGUCCCACGCCCAGCUCGGGGACCGGGGGCACAUGCCGUUGGCGCAGGGACUCCGGGUGGGGAGGCUCCCGGCUCAACCGGGCUGCGCGGGGCCGGAGACAGUAGCCAGAGGCCGAAGGGAGGGGGCCGGCCGACCCCUCCCUCUCCGACUCUCUCUCCCGGGCGACAGAUGGCUUUGUCCUCCAGUCCUGCCCCUGUCGCUGAGGGAAACGUUGGUGCUUCUGGUUCCCCUUCCCAAGGCAGGUUUAAAGUGCACGGCCGGCCCCUGUCCUCCCGACGGCUCCCAUUUCCC